UUUUCCUAACAUUUGUCUUGACAUCAGGUGGAUGGAGUGUUCAUUUUGCUCUUUCUGUUUCUUUUUUUUUAUUAUUUAACUAAUAUUAAUUUAUUAAUAGCUUUAUCUGACUUUUUAUAAGAAUUUUUUUCACAUUCAACAUGGCACAAAGACAGAAGAGAGAUGGAACAUUUUCAUAUGCAGCAAAACAAUCCACAGACUCUAUUACAAGGUUUAGAUUUGUGGUGUUUGGAAGCGAUGAAGUUCUGAUAAAUGAAGCUUGUGAUAUUAUUCUUAGGUCAGCAGAUAGAAUGAAUAGCACUAAACAUGGGACAUGUGAGUUUAGAGAGGCGUGUGUAAGCGGACGCCAUGUCUCUGUAGUAAAAUCUCCUGCUUAUCAGCUGGAACACUUGAAAAUGUACCUGUCAUUCAGCAGAAACAGGUCUAUUAAAAGAGACAUGGAGCUUUGUUACUCACUGGUCUUUCCUGGACCUCAUGCAUUUCUGUUAGUGCUUGGAGAUGUCCGUAACUCUGGAAAAGAACAUUACAUUUUACAAGUUCUCAGUGACGUGUUUGGCCAGGAGGCAUUAGACUACAGUAUGGUGUUAUUUAUGCAUGAAUACAGGGACAGUGAUAUAAGCAGGAACGUGUGUGUGAGAAAGUGCAGAAAAAGGUUCCACAUUUUAAAAAACAAUGAGGAAAAUGUCCUAAAGUUAUUCCAUGACACUACUGAGACGAUGAUAAAACAGAGAAAGGGGAGCUUUUUUACAAAGCAUUUUGACUUGCUAGACAAAACUGAAGCUUAUUUUAAGGUAGAAUUUGAUGCUAAAUAUGAGGAGAGGGAGAGUACACUAAAAGGAAAUUUGGAAGAAAUGAAAACAUCAGAGGAAAAUCUAAGAACAAAAAUGACAGAAAUGGAAAAAAGGAAUUCUGAAAACACUAGAGAAUUACAAGAUCUGCAUAAAGAACUGGAUGCUCAUAAAACCAGAGAAAUUCAGUUAAGGAUGGAAUUAGAUGCUUCCAUAAGCAGAGAGAAUCGUUUAAGUCAACAGAUUGAUGCUUUAAAAAAGAAAAAAUAUGAAUUGAAGGAGGAGCUGUAUGCUCUCAGGUAUUAUAAAAGACAGUUAAAUGAAGAACUGACUGCUUUCAAUGAAAGAGAAAGAGAAGAAUUCCUGCUCACAAAAAUACAGUUACAGAGGAACAGACUUCAGGAGCAAAAAGAAGUAGGCUUGCAGGCUUCCGCGCAAAAGGUGCAUGACAGACAAAAACCUUUGGAUAGAAGAGAGGUGGAGUUGGACGAAAGUGAAAGAAAACUGCUGCAGACCACUGGAUCACAACACGGCGAUCACAUCUCCACAGCUGGUCCUCUCUCUCGUGUGUCUGAAGACAAACUCAAACCUCAAGAAGACACUGGAUCACUUGAGUUUGAAGGAUUAAAACUUGUGAGACAAAACAACAAGAAAUCAGAUCCACUUGAUAUGUGUGAAAGCAAAAUCAAGCCUCUGAGUGAAAGAGAAUGUGAGAUGGAAAGUGAAAUAGCAGACUCACAAUCCAGCAGAUCACUUAAAGGUGAAGGACUGAAACCUGUGAGACAGAACAGCAAUCUGCAAGAUCGACCCAGCAUGUCUGAAGACAAACUCAAACCUCAAGAAGACACUGGAUACCUUGAGUUUGAACGACUGCAACUUGUGGAACAAAAAAGUAAGGAAUUAGAUAGCGAGGAAUCAGAUCCACCUAAUGGUAAGAAUACUUUCAUGUAGAAAUAUGUAGAAAAUGUUAAUUAAGUAAGAUGUUGUUACUCAUUUCAUGGGGGUAGUGGUUCCCAACCACGUUUCUAGAGCCCCCCAACACUGCAAAUGUUUUCCAUGUCUCCUUAAUCAAACUGAUUCAGAUCAUCAGCUCAUUAACAGAGACUCCAAGAUCUGAAAUGGGUGUGUCAGACAAAGAAGAGAUGGGAAAUGUGUUGGGGGGAAUUCCAGGAAUGUGUUUGGGAACCACUGACAUAGAAGUCCUAAAGAACUAAGUAAUUCUAUAAGUGGACUGUGACUGAACUACGUUUCCUGGAGUGCAAUGUGCCAGUAUCCCUCAGUACUAAAUUAACAUGUGACUGAUGGGAAACACUUCAUCUGAUGGCAGUGCAUGUGUUUCAUAACUAACUGUAUUAGUUUUCUUCAGCCAAGUGGUUUAGAGAUUAAGCACAAAGUGAAAAUCACAUGAUCACAUUCCUGUGUAACGGUUCACAUCACUGUGAAAUAGAAAACCUUGUCUAAAGUACACUCACGAGUUUUAAACUUUUUUUUUUUAAACUAAACUGAGCAUUAAUGUAAUGUGAAUAUUUUUAUAAAGACUGUCACAAUUUUGUAUGAUUGUACAAUGAACCUAUUUGUAUAUAAGCAAUG